UCCCCGGCGGCGGCGGCGGCGGCGGCGGCGGCGAGUGAGCGGCGCAGCCUGGAAUAUGGUCGGGGAAAUGGAAACGAAGGAGAAGCCGAAGCCCACCCCGGAUUACCUGAUGCAGCUGAUGAACGACAAGAAGCUCAUGAGCAGCCUGCCCAACUUCUGCGGGAUCUUCAACCACCUGGAGCGGCUGCUGGACGAAGAAAUUAGCAGAGUACGGAAAGACAUGUACAAUGACACAUUAAAUGGCAGUACAGAGAAAAGGAGCGCAGAAUUGCCUGACGCGGUGGGACCUAUUGUUCAGUUACAAGAGAAACUUUAUGUGCCUGUAAAAGAAUACCCAGAUUUCAAUUUUGUUGGGAGAAUCCUCGGACCUAGAGGACUUACAGCUAAACAGCUUGAAGCAGAAACAGGAUGCAAAAUAAUGGUCCGAGGCAAAGGCUCAAUGAGGGAUAAAAAGAAGGAGGAGCAAAAUAGAGGCAAGCCCAACUGGGAACAUCUAAACGAAGAUUUACAUGUACUAAUCACUGUGGAAGAUGCUCAGAACAGAGCAGAAAUCAAACUCAAGAGAGCAGUUGAAGAAGUGAAGAAAUUACUGGUACCUGCAGCGGAAGGAGAAGACAGCCUUAAGAAGAUGCAGCUGAUGGAACUUGCGAUUCUGAAUGGCACUUACCGAGACGCCAACAUUAAAUCACCAGCCCUUGCCUUUUCUCUUGCAGCAACAGCCCAGGCUGCUCCAAGGAUUAUUACUGGCCCUGCGCCUGUCCUCCCACCAGCUGCCCUGCGUACCCCGACGCCAGCUGGCCCUACCAUAAUGCCUUUGAUCAGACAAAUACAGACCGCUGUCAUGCCAAACGGAACUCCUCACCCAACUGCUGCAAUCGUCCCUCCAGGACCUGAAGCUGGUUUAAUUUACACGCCCUACGAGUACCCCUACACGUUGGCACCAGCUACAUCGAUUCUUGAGUAUCCUAUUGAACCUAGUGGUGUGUUAGGUAUGGCUUUCCCAACGAAAGGCUAAGAAUUCAAGAACGGUCUUAACUGAACCCUCAUCAGAUCUGAAUUUAACAAAUGCUUAGUCUCAGCAGCCUCCGGGGGAAAAAAAAGCUUAGCCUAGCAGUCAGUGACUUACUUGCACUUUUUGCACAUAGAUAUAAAGUAAAAUUAUGUGAUUAAUUUGGUUUAGUCUGCAACAUGACACAGUAACUGUAAUUUAUAAAGGAGUGUAUAGUAGUAUACUGACUGCUAAGUGUACUACACUGUUUGCUUUACUAAUCACCUAAUUCAUUGCAGUUCAUGCUCAUUGACGCAGAGUGUAAAACCAUGAUCUGUAGGCUUUAAGAAUUGCUUUUAAACCUUUGUAAGUGAUGAACUCUGGAAGUGGUCUUAAGGUUAGCAAACAAUUGUCAGUAUUGAACGUGGCAUCAUUCAAGUAGGCCUGCUGCAAGAAAGGCACUUCAGUGAAUAUGUGACUAGUAAAGCUUAAAUGGGUCUGUAGAGGUCACGGCACCCUGUAACCUGGGAUUGUAAAUGAGUGGACGAAAUGGGUUAAGGCCAGGAUGUUUGAAAUGAAUGCAAUAUUAAUAGAUGCAUAUAUACGCGACAUAGUAUGGUUAAGUUUAAAACUACUGUGCCUUAACGUGUUUCUUAAAACAAACUUUUGUAGUAAAUGAACAUUUGAAAUCCAUUUUGAUAAACCUGCUGUUAAUGUUUUUUGUUUUGUUUUUUCCCUUGUGAAUGUUUCUAACUUUGUCUUGGUAAUUGCGGUUUAACUAGGUGCGGUGGCUACUAAAGUUCGGAGGCACGAUAUGCGCGUCCAUCCUUACCAAAGGAUUGUGACCGCAGACCGAGCCGCCACCGGCAACUAACCUAUGACCUUCUGACCUCUGAACUCUUCACCCAAUGAUGACCUGACCAUGCCUGCCUGCUGAUCAGUUAACUGGUAAUCGCCUUUGCUUGCCUGUCGUCAGCGCAGCGAGCUGAGGCACUUGUCCGUUCGUCUCACCAUCUAACCAAACAAAAGACAAAGAAAUUGUUGUCCUCCAAAUCAGCUUUUUUUUCCUGUUUGGGUGAAAGCGGUUCUAGAACCUGCACUGAAUAGUAGUAAAGCAAUAAGGCCCAACUCAUCCCACAGCACUGGUCACCUUCCAUACCCCACCCCAAGCGAACGGUAAGAGGCCUCACUUAGAGGGGAGACAGAUGGUCUUCAGCCACUCAGUGACAGGCAGUUACUGUGAGAGACUUCCGGAGCCUUCCUUCUCUAGUGGAGUCCCAGCUCUCUCUGAAUGUACUGUGUGGUGACGCAUCAUGCAUGCUCCUUUGGUCAGGGAUGUCAUUGGUGAAGCAAUCUCAAAAGUAUUCAAAAUUUGACAUGCUCUUAGUCACUACAGUGCCCUCAGAGGGCAGACGUUGCCGCCUUUUUUACAUUGCCUGCCAAAAUUUGAAGUGUUAGAGGAAAGUGUGCCAUGAGAGAACAGUUCACGAGGAAUUUUAAAAAGUAAUACAAAGAACAAAACUGCAACACUAUUUUUUAAAAAAAGUAACUGAGUUAAAAUUACUGACCCCUUCUUCUACACCUCCUUAAAAAGUGUGUGAGAACAAGGUACAUGCAUAAUGUGUCACAGUCCUGGGCAGACCCUUGCGAUGUUUUUUGAACCUCCCUGUACAGAAAAGCUCGUUGAGGAUGUAAAGCCAUGCUUGCCUACUUGCUGUAUACAUGUAAUGAGGUUGUAGAUAAAGUGUAGUGCAUUGAAACAAAUGAACAAAAGUAGAUACUUUUACUAUACAAGGGUGCUGGUGCAGAAAAAAUAUAUAUAUUUUUGGAAAUGUAGCAUUUUAUACUUUCAAGUGUUAUAAAAAAAGAAAAAAGAACAAAGAAACCCUUUAUUUCAUUAAAUGAUUUUUUCUGGUGGUUGUCAAGAAACAAAAGACCAAAAGAGCCUUUUUGUCUUUCUUUUUUAUUUUUUAAGUAUUGGAAUAAGUCUAAAGAAAAGAAAGUGCCUUAUUUUCCUUCAUGGUCAUUCAGUCAGUGUCUCGUGAGAGCAGCUCCUCCCUUGGAAUGCAGUCAGUGCCCGUGGCUCAGUCGCCCAGAGUGUGAGGACAAGGUGGGAGGGAGGGAGGGAGGCAGGAGUUGAUGGCUUGAAUUGGACGAUUCGGGCCACAUUACCUUGAUGCAAAUUUGCCAAAUCUGAUACUGUGAAAAUAUUUGAUAACUUUUCUAAUGCUUGACUAGUAAGUUUUAAAACAUCAUUCUUGUGAAAUCAUAACUGAGUACUUUUGGUUAUUACAGUCUUCACUGUAAGCCCAAAGGAUGCUGAGAUAAAAAUUACGUGUGAUUUUUUUUGUUUAAACUGAACAUCAGUUUACAGACAAAAUUAGAGCUUUAUUUUAUUUGGAAAAGGGGGGUACGUUGGAUUUUUUUAUUAGUUGGAGAUAAUAGUAUACUGUGGCCAACCUCUUCACAAAAAUGAAUCUUUGUGACCAUCAUUCUGAAAAAGAAUGUUUUUGAAUGACCCAAAUUUAAUCAGACUUCUUUGUACCAUACCAGAUGACUGGUAUAGUCCAUCUCUUUGCUGGUCUUAACCAACACACACCCCCUUUUUUUUUCCUUUUCUUUUUUAACUUAAAAGGAUGUGAAAAACUAGCAUCAUUUUGCAUGUAAAGGAUCAACUACAUUUCCGUUUAAGCGUCCACUUUCUCAUGAAGUUGAAAGAGUCGGUAUUGUAGUUGAAGCCAUUUAAUGUGCGUAACGCCUACACCUAAAUACUUGAGUUGAUGAUCAUUAACUGCUCAGUACCAGACAUGGCAAAUCUCAAGUGACAGUGGCUGCCUAGCUUAUCAACUCGGUCCCUCUUCCAUACCUUCACAGCUUCAAGGUCAAAGGUCGGCAGUCAGCUCAGUGAGCACCUCCGUGCGUGGUGACCUCAGCCAUCUUGUCUCACUUGGAAACCGUUUUCAGUUUAUUUACUAUGCAAUAGACAUUCAUGGUGUUGUACUCAGCUAGCUUUGGUUUAGCGUGCCACUGCUUUGUCUUCCUGUUACACAUACAGUUGUUUUGAUUUAUUACAAUAUAUGCUGUGCCAUUUUGAUUUUUGUUUGGUUGGUUGAAUAAAUUCGCGACACUCAAAACACUUGAGGUGAUAGUUGUUAAAGAGGAUAUACCAGUAUUUGAUCCAGUUUCAUCUCAACUAUGUUAUACCUGGGUAUUUUAGAUGUUUGUCAAAGGUCUUUUAUUGGGAAGAAAGUAAAUGUAUGAAAUAAAUGUUUGACAUUUAUGAGUAAUGUUGGCUCUGAACAAACUUUUGAAAACUUAGUUGACAAACUUUUGGAUCAACUGAAAAAAAAAAAAGCAUGACUUUUGAAUGCCUUGGUUCUCAGUAUUAUCAUUCUUUAUUGAAUUUAUUUCUUAUUAAAAUAUGUAGUUUUUAAGAUUUUUUUUCUGACAGUAUUAUGUAAUUUUUUUAGAGUGGGUAGGUGGGAGUGUCGCUUGUAUGUUACCGUACAGCUGACAUGUAUUUCGUCUAUUCUUUAUUAUCUUAGUAGUUUCAUGCUCUGUAUGUACCAUAACCAACCUAUUGCCUAUGAGAAACAUGUAAGAUAAUGUAUUUACAGCCAUUGUUACAAGUUUAUAAUGUAUUUUUCUAUCUUGUUUUAUAUGUAUGUUAUAUAACAUUCAAAAAAAUUUUUUUCUUGAUUGAGAAAAGGAUACAAAAUGCAAAAUCCACAAUUUUGAUAACUGAAAAUUGCCCAUUGUUUUGCAGUACUUUAUUAUAUUGGGUGUCUUGUCUUUCCUGGGCUUUUAGUUAGCUAAUGAAUGAAUACAUUAGACACUUUUGGGUUUUAGUUGGGAUUUUACAUAGCUUGCAUUUUAAUUCUUUGGUUCUUUGCUGUUUCUAUUAACCCAUAGCAUUAUUUUAAUAAAUGUUAUAAUACCAACCUACUAACUCUGGACUGUGUCUGUUUAUUAACCUUUACAUGUUUAAUUAAAAUAAACAAAUAAAGACAAAAUAAAGUCUUGAGUUACUGGACUAACCCUGAAGAACGUGACCACAGAUAACCUAGCGUGACUUGUUUCUGUGUUGUUUGUCAGCUGACAGUUCCGCACACUACUGUUAAAAUGGCUUCGGUUAUUCUGGCCUUUGACCUUGCGGGGUAGGUGCCAGCAGGGAUGGGAGCAGAGUAGCCUUCGUUUGAGGAAGCCGUCUUCUGGUCUUGCACUUGCCUUUCAGCGUCUGCGUUACUAAUGCCACACUUUCUUAUUGUUUUCUUCUCCGAAAUAAUCACUGUCUGCUCGCAGCAGAGAAAGAGACUCACUGUCACGACACACCUGGAGAAAACCAGUUUGAUUCUUUGUUGAACCAUUUCUUUUAACUUCCACAAAUAGGUGUAAUCUUGUGGUCACCUUAGGAAGCCAAGAUUCUGAUUUUGUCUCAUCAGUAUUACGGAGUUUUGUUUUAAUUUGACAUUUUUCUUUUGUAAAGUGCUGGACUUUAGCCAGCUGCUCCUGUCGCAGGAGCACCACAUAGGUAAAGUCAGAGGCCAAAAGGGCUCUGUCUCUCCUGAUGGUUCACAGCAAGCCCUUGGUCAGAGCACCGCAGCCUGUCUGUCCCCAGGAGGCCAGACAGCAGCACUGGGUUUUCUUCCAGUGCAUUUCCUCUCACUUCCAAAGCACAGUCCAGAAAGAGCAUGAAGGCAGGAAAAGGCAGUGGGGGAGAACCCAGGGCUCCUGUGGUUACAUACGGGUGACAUCCUGUAUGCAAAUCAGUUUUGAGAAGAUUUCUUAAAUAUCUUCAUGGUUUUCUUGGCUGCAGCCUGGGUAAAUUGACCUCUGUUUAUGAAUUCUUUAUCUCUUGAGGUGUAUUUUUAUUUCACAGAUACUGUUAGUACUUUCCUUUUCUGCGAAACAGUUAUCCUGCUAGUAAAAGUUCUCAGGAUGAAUCUUUGCAUUUGUAAAUAAUGGUUUAUUUUUGGAAAUCACGUUCUAUUUAUUCUAAAGUUCUUGCGGGGGGCGGUGCUUAAGUAAGUCACAUGUUACAGAAGAUACAACUGUACCAGUGUACUCCAUCCCAACAAAUCAAAGACUGUCAGUGUUGCUCUAUUUCAUACAUGUUUAUAUGCAUAUAUGAAAUAGAAUAGUGCCAACAGCUGGUUUACUCAUGACUAAGAUGGCCGUUUGGAUGAUGGAGGUAAACACGGUCGUUUCUUGGAUGGAGAGCAGUGUUCUCGCUAGGCACACAGGGCGUUGAUACGCUGCUCCUAGUCAGAGUUACCGUUGCAGUAACAGUGCAGAGUACUCUUCUGUGAACAUUUGAAGAAGUCUGUCAAGCUGCUGAUACUCCAGCCGCCAUGGUGCCACAUCACUUAAACUGAUGACGAGUUUCUGUGCAGUUACUCUGCCUUCUGUAUGAAGUCUAUAAAUGCAGUCUCAUCUCAUUUUCAGUUAAUGGUACUUUAUGUAUAAUUAGGUUGUAUUGUCACCUUUUAUGUUGGAAAAGUUGUAAAAGCCAGUUUUUUUAAAGGUGAAAAUAACAUAACAAAUCCCAGUUUUUACAGGGUGUAGUGGUAUUAAACUUGAAACUACCGAAUUCUUAUAAUGAUAGAAUUCUAGAGUCCAUUUAUUGCUUUAUCCUGUUAUUUGACUAAAUAAAUGGAAGUUAAGCUUUCAGUCAGGAAGUUGGUGAAAUUAAUGUACUUAGUAGCUGAUUUUUUUUUUUCUCACUUAGGCAAAAUGUCAGGGAAAAACUGUAGGAUGACAGCAGGUAUUCACGGAAGGUUUGGUGCCGUAAUUACAAGCGCAGCCGAGUCCACUUAGGAGGUUACAUGAGCACCCUGUCUGUGAAAUCAGAAUGUGUGGAUAUAUUCACAGAGUAUGUAUUUGGGUAAAGUUAGUGACUACUACAUGACCAUAGAGGGUCUGGACUGUUUUAUUUUCUAGUGCACUAAGAGCAGACACUAGGUUUAAGUGAAGUUCUCUUCUACCAAAUCACAAACCUUUUUAACAGCACAAUCUAACACCUUCAUAUGGGACAUUCAGACGUUUCUCUAGAUGUUCUGAUUUCUUUAUUUGGCCGGGGUGGGUGCGUCUCUUUACCCCUAAUAACAAUUAGCUGUUACAGCAUUUCCAACAAGUAAUUUUUCGGUGGAAUGGAACAAAUUGCCAAACUACAAGUCACUGUUCAGCAAAAGUUAAUCAGAAAACUUUUGGAACCACAAACUUUCUAAGAAGUACAUAGAGUAAUUUUUUCAGUGUUGUAGAGUCUUUUAUUUAAAAUGGAAAAAUAAUUUUACUCAUUUAUGAACAAUAAUAAAUGCUUUUU